ACACAUCAGCUGUAGCAGAAGCAGGGCACGACUUUUCCGCCCACAAACUCCUCAUCUGUGGGAGGGGAUCCGACCAAUGACGAGCAGGAGCAGGAGGAGAGUCAACCCUGAAGAGGAGAGACUGUACCACAGACUCGCCCCCACCCGUCGACCGCUGGAAUUUACUUCUGAUCCCUAGCGACACUGUUAAGGAUCGCGCAGUAGAAGUUGGAUGGAUAGAAAUGGACAAGGACUGCAAGAUGAGAGAGCUGCAGGUGUUCAAGGCCAGGGAUUCCCAAAGUGUGGUGCAGGGACCCCUGGGUGUACGCAAGCUGCCACUCAGGGGUGUGCAAGAUUAAAAUUGUGUUGGGGUUUGGAGUGUUUUCAAAGUUAAUCAAGUAACAUUGUCUUUGUAAAAUUUGAUUCCAAAGCUGACAUAUUAAUUAUUAAAUACAUGCCGACGAAACCAAUUCUACUGGUCUGAAUGAGAGUACGGAUGGUUAUGUCAGUCUGUCAGCUUUUUUUAAACAAUCAGGCUGAAUGAUUUGAAAGCCAAUCACAGCUGUCUGUGGCACAACCACACACAGAGACCACGUACCAUUCACACAUGGUCAAUUUAGACUAAGCACCUCUUUUUUUCCUUGUUUAAAGAUUAGAAAUAAGAUGGGAGUUUGAUGUAGCCAUCCAGAUAUCAGUGCAGCCCUGCAGAUACAUCAUAGAAUGAGAUUAAACAGAUAUUAAAAAAAAGUCAAGUUUUUUUUUUUUGGUUUUAAUACAAAAUUCCAGAGAUAUACAUCGCCAUCUCAGAAUUCCUCUUUCACAUUAGAUCCCAAAUUUGAGGAAAAAGAGGAAGAAGAGGGAUUUAUGCAUGGGCGAAGAAAAAUUAAAGAGGGAGCAGAGUAAAAUAAAUUCCAGACAGUUCUCUUGCCUUCGAACACUUCCUUCUUCUGUUGUAGAGCAGCAGUCUCUGGUGGUUAUUCGUGACCUCUCGCCAACUGUUGGCUCUUUCUUUCACUCUGUCUCACUGUCUCCAUGUUCAAGUCCAUGCAGAUAAAACCAUUUCUACCAUGUGAUGAUGAUGACAGCAGCAACUCCAGUGACUGACAGGACAACGAGCUCUGCUAAUGACAGUCAUCUAUGGUAUUGCUUAGACCGAUCCGACUCUGAGAACUAGUGAGUACAAAGGUUAAACAGUAGCAGUGUAU